UUCAGAUUCAUCACUAUGUAGUAUGUUCAUGAAUAAAUGGUUUAUGAGAACUCUGAUCAAAUUGUUCUUAGGUAGUACAAUUUGUAACACGGAGACUGGAACAACUUUUGGUGGAUGAAGGAAUUAACUACGAAAUAGUCCGGUCAGUGCUUAUGGAGCGUGCAAACUGCCCUUAUCUAGCAUCACAAACGGCAGCUGAAAUGGAAGCUUUUUCAAGAACCGAAGUUUUUCCAAAAAUUGUCGAGGUGUAUUCAAGGCCAGUUCGAAUUAUACGUGGGAAGCAAAUUGAGUCUGCUUGGGAGGUUGACGCAAGCGCAUUCGAGAAAGAAGAAGAAAAGGCGUGGUGGAGCGCCUACUUGGAGGAGUCGACGUCAAAACCUUUGCCGAGGCCUCCCUGCUUCUGAUACAACCACUGGAGGAUUUCUUCAACAAUGUUUUCGUCAUGGCGGAAGACGAGAGGAUCCGCAACAAUCGGCUGGCGCUGCUGCAAAAGGUUACGAGUUUGACCAAGGGGAUCGCCGACCUCUCGGUUUUACCAAGGUUUUAGUUAGCCUUGGAGUGAGCCGGUGGUCGAGUUAGAGGGUACGUCCCAUUUUUGAGCUGGUGUCCUCAAGUUGGAGCCAGUUUUUGUUCUUCUUCUGUGUUGUGUUGCUGAUAUUAUUUGGGAUCCUCUUUGAUUGGAGGAUGGGGACCUAGGAAAAACCUAUUUGGCAUUCAUUUAGAUCUUACCAGUUUCAAGCAGAUCGGGCGGGUGCUCCCUGACGUUGAUAUUUGUUUGUUGGUGUAUAAAUUUUCUUUUAAGAAGAUUGAAACAGUUGGAGCUAGCCUUCCUUCUGUCUGUUUAAGAAGAGAGAUGUAUAAUAUGUAGACGGACAUACUCGUAA